rnacentral:misc_RNA from 1 species
UCCGGCUUAUCACCGGCGGUUUCUUUAGAGUGCCCAACUGAAUGAUGGCAACUAAAGACGAGGGUUGCGCUCGUUGCGGGACUUAACCCAACAUCUCACGACACGAGCUGACGACAGCCAUGCAGCACCUGUGCAUCGGCCAGCCUAACUGAAGGAGUCCAUCUCUGGACCCCAAACCGAGCAUGUCAAACGCUGGUAAGGUUCUGCGCGUUGCGUCGAAUUAAACCACAUGCUCCACCGCUUGUGCAGGCCCCCGUCAAUUUCUUUGAGUUUUAAUCUUGCGACCGUACUCCCCAGGCGGAUAACUUAAUGCGUUAGCUGCGCCACCGAAGCCCUGUGGGCCCCGACAGCUAGUUAUCAUCGUUUACGGCGUGGACUAC